rnacentral:lncRNA from 1 species
UCCACAUGGAGGGUGGUCUUCCUCUCUCCCAGGAACUUGGGAGAGGGACUGGGUUCCAAGAGAAAAGAGCUGAAAGUGGAAGAACUGCUCCCCUUGAGAGGUGGUUUGGAAUUUGGGCAGAAAAUAGGGGCCAGAAGGAAGAAAUAAAGUUGGCAGAAGGAGACAGGAAAUGGAUCCAACACAAGGCAGAGAAGGAAAGAGAAUGAGAGAGCAUAGAACAGUAGAGACAAGAGGCAGAA